AGUGAACGCUGGCGGUAGGCCUAACACAUGCAAGUCGAACGGCAGCACAGUAAGAGCUUGCUCUUACGGGUGGCGAGUGGCGGACGGGUGAGGAAUACAUCGGAAUCUACUUUUUCGUGGGGGAUAACGUAGGGAAACUUACGCUAAUACCGCAUACGACCUACGGGUGAAAGCAGGGGAUAUUCGGACCUUGCGCGAUUGAAUGAGACGAUGUCGGAUUAGCUAGUUGGCGGGGUAAAGGCCCACCAAGGCGACGAUCCGUAGCUGGUCUGAGAGGAUGAUCGGCCACACUGGAACUGAGACACGGUCCAGACUCCUACGGGAGGCAGCAGUGGGGAAUAUUGGGCAAUGGGCGCAAGCCUGAUCCAGCCAUACCGCGUGGGUGAAGAAGGCCUUCGGGUUGUAAAGCCCUUUUGUUGGGAAAGAAAAGCAGCAGGUUAAUACCCCGCUGUUCUGACGGUACCCAAAGAAUAAGCACCGGCUAACUUCGUG
rnacentral:rRNA from 1 species